GAUGAAGAACGUAGUGAAAUGCGAUACUUGGUGUGAAUUGCAGAAUCCCGUGAACCAUCGAGUCUUUGAACGCAAGUUGCGCCCGAAGCCAUUAGGCCGAGGGCACGCCUGCCUGGGCGUCACACGUCGUUGCCCCCCCAUCUACUCCUUCGGGAUUGCGGGGGGCGGAUGAUGGCCUCCCGUGCGCCUCGUCGCGCGGUUGGCAUAAAUGCCAAGUCCUCGGCGACGCACGCCACGACAAUCGGUGGUUGCGAAACCUCGGUUGCCCGUCGUGUGCGGUCGUCGCGCAUCGAGGGCUCGAAAAAAUUGUCGGGCUCCGGCUCGGCUUUCAACGCGACCCCAGGUCAGGCGGGGUUACCCGCUGAAUUUAAGCAUAUCAAUAGCGGAGGA
rnacentral:misc_RNA from 1 species